UAUUCACCAAUUAUAAAUGUCAUGCUCUUUAUUAAUUCAAAACAUAAGCAUUUGCAUAAAACGCAACGGAUAGAGAUUUCAUCAAUCAUGUACAACAUGUAACAUUCACAUGUAAUUUAUUCAACAACAUAAAACAUCCCAUCCCGAUGUUACAUCUAUCAGAGCACGACCCACUAAGGAGACUACACUAGACUCCAAGCAUUCGCUUCUACUCAACUCAUUUCUCGUUACCUGAAAAAUAGUUGUAAGGGUGAGUUCC
rnacentral:lncRNA from 1 species